UACGGAGGGAGCUAGCGUUGUUCGGAAUUACUGGGCGUAAAGCGCACGUAGGCGGCUUUGUAAGUUAGAGGUGAAAGCCCGGGGCUCAACUCCGGAACUGCCUUUAAGACUGCAUCGCUUGAAUCCAGGAGAGGUGAGUGGAAUUCCAGGUGUAGCGGUGAAAUGCGUAGAGAUCUGGAGGAACACCGAUGGCGAAGGCAGCCUUCUGGGCCAACACUGACGCUCAUGCACGAAAGCGUGGGGAGCAAACAGG
rnacentral:rRNA from 1 species